rnacentral:rRNA from 1 species
AGAGAUAGAAGUUUCCCCUUCGGGGGACAAAGUGACAGGUGGUGCAUGGUUGUCGUCAGCUCGUGUCGUGAGAUGUUGGGUUAAGUCCCGCAACGAGCGCAACCCUUAAGCUUAGUUGCCAUCAUUAAGUUGGGCACUCUAAGUUGACUGCCGGUGACAAACCGGAGGAAGGUGGGGAUGACGUCAAAUCAUCAUGCCCCUUAUGAUUUGGGCUACACACGUGCUACAAUGGACAAUACAAAGGGCAGCGAAACCGCGAGGUCAAGCAAAUCCCAUAAAGUUGUUCUCAGUUCGGAUUGUAGUCUGCAACUCGACUACAUGAAGCUGGAAUCGCUAGUAAUCGUAGAUCAGCAUGCUACGGUGAAUACGUUCCCGGGUCUUGUACACACCGCCCGUCACACCACGAGAGUUUGUAACACCCGAAGCCGGUGGAGUAACCAUUUGGAGCUAGCCGUCGAAGGUGGGACAAAUGAUUGGGGUGAAGUCGUAACAAGUUAAC